UACGGGAGGCGGCAGUGGGGAAUAUUGGGCAAUGGGCGCAAGCCUGACCCAGCAACGCCGCGUGAAGGAAGAAGGCUUUCGGGUUGUAAACUUCUUUUAAGUGGGAAGAGCAGAAGACGGUACCACUUGAAUAAGCCACGGCUAACUACGUGCCAGCAGCCGCGGUAAUACGUAGGUGGCAAGCGUUGUCCGGAUUUACUGGGUGUAAAGGGCGUGCAGCCGGGCAUGCAAGUCAGAUGUGAAAUCUCAGGGCUUAACCCUGAAACUGCAUUUGAAACUGUAUGUCUUGAGUGCCGGAGAGGUAAUCGGAAUUCCUUGUGUAGCGGUGAAAUGCGUAGAUAUAAGGAAGAACACCAGUGGCGAAGGCGGAUUACUGGACGGUAACUGACGGUGAGGCGCGAAAGCGUGGGGAGCGAACAGGAUUAGAUACCCUGGUAGUCCACGCUGUAAACGAUGGAUACUAGGUGUGCGGGGACUGACCCCCUGCGUGCCGCAGUUAACACAAUAAGUAUCCCACCUGGGGAGUACGAUCGCAAGGUUGAAACUCAAAGGAAUUGACGGGGGCCCGCACAAGCGGUGGAUUAUGUGGUUUAAUUCGAAGCAACGCGAAGAACCUUACCAGGUCUUGACAUCCUGCUAACGAAGUAGAGAUACAUUAGGUGCCCUUCGGGGAAAGCAGAGACAGGUGGUGCAUGGUUGUCGUCAGCUCGUGUCGUGAGAUGUUGGGUUAAGUCCCGCAACGAGCGCAACCCCUAUUGUUAGUUGCUACGCAAGAGCACUCUAGCGAGACUGCCGUUGACAAAACGGAGGAAGGUGGGGACGACGUCAAAUCAUCAUGCCCCUUAUGACCUGGGCUACACACGUAAUACAAUGGCGGUCAACAAAGGAAUGCAAAGCCGCGAGGCAGAGCGAACCCCAAAGAGCCGUCCCAGUUCGGAUCGCAGGCUGCAACCCGCCUGCGUGAAGUCGGAAUCGCUAGUAAUCGUGGGUCAGCAUACCACGGUGAAUACGUUCCCGGGCCUUGUACACACCGCCCGUCACACCAUGAGAGUCGGGAACACCCGAAGUCCGUAGCCUAACCGCAAGGAGGGCGCGGCCGAAGGUGGGUUCGAUAAUUGGGGUGAAGCCGUAACAAGGUAGCCGUACUAGUACGCAUG
rnacentral:rRNA from 1 species